ensembl:lncRNA
CUUGGUGUCAUCUCUGCUUGCUCUUCUGCCCUCACCGCCUGUCUUGCCAAGGAGCAGGAGGUCAUGGGGAUUGCCCCCUGCAGACAGAAUGGGAACGGAGGGAAAGGGCAGGAGGAGGAGGUACUGUCUGACUCAGCUUGUGAUCCUCAUCCAUCCAUGAAGACCUGAGUUCUGGCUGUCUAAGGAAAACCCCACUGAGGAGAGUUGGCAGCUCUUGGCACCCCAGCAUUCUGUUCAGUCGUUUCAUCAGACCCACUGUGCAGCACUGGUAAACCCAUUCUGAGUUUUGCAGUGUAUGGCACUCACUCCCCACCCACGCCCAAUGGCAGUGGGCUUUUGAAAUGUUGCAUAAAGUUUGAAAAAAAAAAAAAAAGUUGUGAUAUUGUGAUGAACCUCUCUUUCUUUGUGAUGAACCUUUCUCUCAUUUUCUCCGUGCUUCAGAGUGCUUUCUUCGCCGGACUGGGCAAAGCCAUGCGCUCUCUGCAGAGGAAGCAGGAGUAGAGAGCAAGCCUCAGUGGCUGUCCUUGAUUCAGGGCCUGACUUCCUUUCUGUCCCUGAGUUUUCAAACAUGAGAGACCACAGUAGUCUCCAUUCAGUGAAACAUCUGGCAGUGGUGGGCUCUUAAAUAUAUAUAUGUUUAUAUUUAAGCCUUAUUGGCACAGCAGCUCUCAAGGCCCGGAAGAGAACUCCCACAGGCUGUGACGCUUCCAGAUACAGAUGGCAGCUUAUGGUGUUUUGGCACCAUGUUCAUCUUCAGAGGCUACUGACUAAGGAGAGUGGUAAGACUACUGUGGAGCCAUUGCUGUGAAGGGUCACGUUCAGCCCCUAGUUUUCUCCAUUUUAAGAAAGCGUGCAGGUGGAAGUAAAGAUCUGCCAGUUCAAAGGUUGCCUUUGAUUUUGUAUGUUUGUGCCUAUAGGUGAAGUAAGCCAAUCCACACCUAGGAAAAUGAUGCCUUUUGAAAUGAAGCUUUCCAAACCAUCAGUUAAAACUUUUUAUGUUAAUUAAAAGAUUAAUUUAAUUGAUUUAAAGAGCAUGCACAUUGUGGUAUCCUAUUAGGGAUGUGCUAUCUGCAGUUUACAUUUGGUUUACUCACUGCAAAUACCAUAUGUGCAGUGAAGCAAAAAGGGUGAG